rnacentral:misc_RNA from 1 species
GAUGAAGAACGUAGCAAAAUGCGAUAAGUAAUGUGAAUUGCAGAAUUCAGUGAAUCAUCGAAUCUUUGAACGCACAUUGCGCCCGCCAGUAUUCUGGCGGGCAUGCCUGUUCGAGCGUCAUUUCAAACCUCAAGCACAGCUUGGUGUUGGGACUCGCGUUAAUUCGCGUUCCUCAAAUUGAUUGGCGGUCACGUCGAGCUUCCAUAGCGUAGUAGUAAAACCCUCGUUACUGGUAAUCGUCGCGGCCACGCCGUUAAACCCCAACUUCUGAAUGUUGACCUCGGAUCAGGUAGGAAUACCCGCUGAACUUAAGCAUAUCAAUAAGCGGAGGA